CUACGGGCCGCACCAGUGGGGAAUAUUGGACAAUGGGCGCAAGCCUGAUCCAGCAAUGCCGCGUGAGUGAAGACGGCCUUAGGGUUGUAAAACUCUUUCGCUAGGGAAGAUAAUGACUGUACCUAGUAAAGAAGUCCCGGCUAACUCCGUGCCAGGCAGCCGCGGUAAUACGGAGGGGACUAGCGUUGUUCGGAAUUACUGGGCGUAAAGAGUUCGUAGGCGGACUGACAAGUUAGAGGUGAAAUCCCAGGGCUCAACCCUGGAACUGCCUUUAAAACUGUCAGUCUAGAGACCGGAAGAGGUUAGGGGAAUACCUAGUGUAGAGGUGAAAUUCGUAGAUAUUAGGUGGAACACCAGUGGCGAAGGCGCCUAACUGGUCCGGUACUGACGCUGAGGAACGAAAGCGUGGGGAGCAAACAGGAUUAGAUACCCGCGUAGUC
rnacentral:rRNA from 1 species